AGAGUUUGAUCCUGGCUCAGGAUUAACGCUGGCGGCGUGCCUAACACAUGCAAGUCGAACGAGGUAGCAAUACCUAGUGGCAGACGGGUGAGUAACACGUGGUCAACCUACCGUCGAGCGGGGGAUAACUAGCCGAAAGGUUAGCUAAUACCGCAUAACACCCGGGGCGGCAUCGCCCUUGGUUGAAAGCAGCAAUGCAC
rnacentral:rRNA from 1 species